GGUUCGGUGGAUUAAGGCAUAGCCCUCACAUGGGGCUCAGGUAUUGGCAGUAGUAUUUGCUCACUUUAUAUUGUCAGGGAUAUUAGCACUGGAAGCUAACAUGCUAAUGUAGUAUAAACGAAUGAGAAUGCACAGCCGAGUCUCCCCUGAGCUGUCUGUUGGCGGCGUUCCACUGCACGCUCCAUCAGGGCCGGCGCUUGUGUCACUGAGGUUGUGGUUGAAUACAGUAGUAGCUGGACACUCUUUGAAGAAUUUGCUGUCACAGAGAUAAAGAUAUUAUUUUAUACAUGGCCUGCUGAUUUUUGUACAGUGUUUUUAUAGCUGAUUAUUUUGUCAUGAACAUAUAUACAUUUAUUAUGCACUACUUUUCUAAAUAUUUUUUUCAAUAGUCAUUUUAGGCACAUUUUUCACAGAUGGGAGAACUCCUUUUGCAAUACCUCAUUUUUUUCACUUGGUAAAAAUAAUUUUAUACCUUUGUUACUAAGAGAUCUGCAUUUAUGGUAAACUUAAUUUAAAAAGAGAAAAAUGAUAAUAUAAUUUUCAAUUUAGCUUUUAUAUAUUUAAGUGCUGAUAAAUCUCAGUUGUUUGGUGCAUUGGUGUGAUUCUGUAGAGGAAAAAAAAAAAGAUAAGAGGCUAGCGUUGGCCAACCGUAUACAAAUUCUUCUCAGUCCUAAUGAAUAUAAUUACAGGAUCCUAUGGCAUGGCAAGAUCUUUCUAAAUGGAUUUUGAUAGUCUUGAAAAUAUAUUCUGAUAUUUGCUUCUAGUCGUAGUUGAUAAGAAUAUUAUAUGGUAAAUGUUUUGGCUUUUCGGUCGAUGUGAACUCCCCCACCUACGCCCCCUCAUUGUAUCACCAGAAUGAAUGACGCCUGUUUAAAUAUUUAGAUCUUCUUCUCGGCAUGCAUGAUGAUAAAGCAGAGUAACAUGGCUAGUGUUCAUACAGGACCUAUUGUAACGCACUACAGCUCCCGCCAUCGUCUCACUUUACUUGACCGAUUUCUUUAUUUUUUUUAAUCCUCGUCGAUCACUAUCCUCUCUCUCUCUCUGUCUCUGUCUCUCUCUGUAUACACCGGUAUCGUCUGCAUUGCUCACACAUAGACACGUCGUUUAAUGCAGACCCCACCUCGACGACGCCUCAACUCGGGAGGACACUCGGUAUGUAGGGGUGUCUUGUUAGUGAAGGGGCGACGGGCGUCCGACCUCCCACCCUCCUCUUGUGAUGUGGCAUGCUUUGGGACAUAACCUGAAUGUGAUUGAUGUUGCAAGUUAACUUUGAGCCAUUAUGUGCAAUACUUAUCCUUUCCAGAAGAGUUAUUCGCAGUGUAAAUCAUUUAAUUCACACAAAUCGCGCAAUCAUUUAUCCCCCUUUUCCUCCCCUAUAAUUUAUGCUGGUGUCUGCAAGGAAAAAAAUAAGUCUUUCUACUAAUUUAUACCUGAAUUUAUUUUUAAACAUUAGUUUUGUGCUUAUUUACUUAUUUUGCUACUACCAUGCUACUGUGAUUGAAAACAUUGUAAAUACUAGGUUGAUAAUGUAUUAAGCAUUUGCUAUUUUUUCAAUUGAAAUGUAUAACUUUAAUUUUGAGCAGAUCUUUGUUAUAUUUUUUGGGGUGUUGUGUUAAACUUGUGUCUAGUUUUUCUAAUUGCUGUACUGUGCUCCACGUUUUCAGAUGAAAAGAAUAUUGAUAUGUUUGUUAGUAUUACUUGAUUGCAAAAAUUUCAAUAGUUUUUAAUUGUAUGCUGGGAAGGUUUUAUUUAUUAACUUUUUUUACUUUUAUCAUUUGGAUUUUUAUUAAGUCAUUUCACAUUUAUAAGUUCUAAUUUUUUAUUUUCCUCCUGAUUGCGUUGCGCUACAAUACAGACGUCAGUUUUUACAGUUGGUUUGUAGUAUUGAAGUAAGAGACGAAGAUCCAAUGUCAUUCAUUUGCAGCCAACUAUAACUGUAUGCAUACAUUUGAAGUAUUUGUAAUGUGAGAUGUAGAAUGAAUAAAACAACUGUGAGGAACCCUCUCGUGGCCUACUUUUGCUAAGAGAACUGAAGUCAAUGAUUUUUACAGACACAGAGAGAGAGGGAGAAUCAGUACUAUGCAGAUGUAAUGUGCUUGUUUAAGAUAAACAAACUACAAACGUAUCAUUUGCUACAUUCCAGGUAUGUUUGUGACUUCGCAAAAAGAAAUGUCAUGAUAUUUUUACCUCGAGCAAAUAUUGAUUUUCAAUAUUGUGUGUUGAGAAUGGUGCCAUUGAGGUACUUCACUGCCAUCUACUGGUCAUGUUUAGUUAAGAGAUGGAUGUGACCCAUAUGCAGGUGCUGCACCAUGUGCUGCACUGGCACGUCAGCCCUGACCGCUGAGCUCGUGACAUGACUCCAUCAGGAAAGUCGUUGCUCUGGGAAAUGAGGCGCGGGAGAUUGUCAAAAAUGGCGAAGACCGUUUAUGUGCCACGAUUUGGCUCUCAAUUGCAUGGCAGCCAAACAAACGAACCAAAGGAAUAUUUGAUAGAUCUACCACCCACUUGUACACAGAAGAAACAAUACGAGAACUGUUUGUCAUCGAAAAAGGGACAAUUUACAAGAUCUCGCAACUACGCUAAAAACAAGCAAACUAACAAUGACAACAAAUCUGAAGCAUCACCUACACUGCAAUACAGUUGUAGGUCUGUGUCUCAAACGAGGAGGGCUUUGGACUGCGAAAAAGAGGAAUCCAAAUCGACGAGCCAGGGGACGGUUUUCGACCCCGACUGGGAAGAAGAACUUCCUCUUUCUGAACCCAGCCAACGCCACAAAACAGAUACUCUUAAUGAAAAGCUCAAACCUGCCGUUCUGAGAACAAUCGCGAAGAUGCUGCGUGAGAACAGGUGUAUCCGGAGGAGGCUUCUCUCCCUCAGCCAGGCCAGUCGCCCUCUGACCAGAGUCCCGGCGGGGCGCUCCCACCGCAGGGACACCUCCUUAACCCGCUAACGUAUGCCUUUAAUGUUUCACUAGGAAUUUAGUUGUUUCAGAUUUGAGUUGUCAGUUGGACCUACUUUUAAUUAAAAAGGCUUAACCUGAACUAUAAUAAGGCCGUGCUGUAAGACCAAAUGCUAGGCUAAAUGUUGAUUGUUGGUAGGCUACAUGUUGAUCGUAACCACCAAAGGCCGGUUAGUUAAUACAUAGUCUUAAUAUAUGCCUAUACCGAAUGUGUUGGUAGGUAUUUAGUUGUUGCAGAUGUCUGUUGUUGCCAGUUGCACAGUUUGACCAACACCGGUAAUUUCCUUCAUAUUGUAAUAAACCUCGAUUUAGGCCAUCUUGUUGGCCUAUAUAUAAGGUCGGGAAGGUGGAAGAUAUUACCCAAAGAUGAAUGUUAUUGUAUCGGAAACAAUCUGCAAAGUUGUUUGGUACUGGAAAUUAAAGUGUUACUUUCGUAAAUAAGGGUCAUUUUUUGUCUUUGUUCCUAGAGUCUUCACUAUUUGUUUUAUCUUUCCCCACCAGGGUGCGCCACUUUUUCAUUUCUGGCUUUGGUCUAAAUAUUACAAUAAUUCUCCAAUCUUUUCUAAAGUAUCUCAA